CCUACGGGAGGCUGCAGUGGGGAAUAUUGCACAAUGGGGGCAACCCUGAUGCAGCGACGCCGCGUGAGUGAAGAAGUACUUCGUUAUGUAAAGCUCUAUCAGCAGGGAAGAAAAUGACGGUACCUGAGUACGAAGCGCCGGCUAACUACGUGCCAGCAGCCGCGGUCAUACGGAGGGGGCACGCGUUAGCCGGAUUUACUGGGUGUAAAGGGAGCGUAGACGGCAGUGUAAGUCUGGCGUGAAAGGCGCGGGCUUAACCCCCGAACUGCUCUGGAAACUGGACGGCUGGAGUGCAGGAGAGGUAAGUGGAAUUCCUAGUGUAGCGGUGAAAUGCGUAGAGAUGAGGAGGAACACCAGUGGCGAAGGCAGCCUACUGGAAUUGAACUGACGCUGAGGCUCGAAAGCGUGGGGAGCAAACAGGAUUAGAUACCCCAGUAGUC
rnacentral:rRNA from 1 species